AGAGAGAAGAAGACAGGAGAGAGAGAGAGAGAGAGAGAGAGAGAGUCCAUCUUACAUCUUGACUCUUCAUUCAGAAACAAGGAGACCAAUGUACAUGUGCCUAUGAAGAUGCUAUCUCCUUGUCAGUGAUACAAAUCCAACGAAUGUGGCAAGCAAUCCAUAUGGCAUCUGAAAGUGCUGAACAUGUUCAACAUAUCUCCAGUGUCUCCAGUGUCUUUGCCAUUGCUUCAUGUCAAAGUCAAAAUUCUUCCCUCUAUAUUCAUAUUCAAGCAGUUACCGGCUAUGUGUUAUCAAGUUUCCAUCAAAUUUUGUUUGAGGAGAAGGUCCUGCUGCUUAAAUUGUUUGAGGAU